rnacentral:rRNA from 1 species
AAACUUUCAACAACGGAUCUCUUGGUUCCGGCAUCGAUGAAGAACGCAACGAAAUGCGAUAACUAAUGUGAAUUGAAGAAUUCAGUGAAUCAUCGAGUCUUUGAACGCACAUUGCGCCCUCUGGUAUUCCGGAGGGCAUGGCUGUCCGAGCGUCAUUG